rnacentral:lncRNA from 1 species
UUCAGGUUUGGAAACAUUGGAGAGAUGGGACACCAUUGGAAGUGCUGGAUCCAACUCUGACAGAUACAUAUUCAAGAAAUGAAGUAAUUAGAUGCAUCCACAUUGGAUUGUUAUGUGUUCAAGAAGAUCCAGCUAUCAGACCCGCAAUGGCAACAAUUGUUCUCACACUCAAUAGUUACUCGGUUACCUUACCAUCCCCGCAAGAGCCUGCAUUUUUUUUCCACAGCACUAUAACAGAUGAAGUGAACAUUUCAUGCAAGGAAUUUCUUUUCGAAGAUUCUAAAAACAAGUCUGUUGUUUAUUCUGUAGAUGAAGAUUCAAUUACUGAAGUAUAUCCUCGAUAGGGAGCAUGUGUAUUUUCUCUAAAAUAAGCACUGGAAAAAAAAAACAUGAGGUUAAUUUUUUCAGUACCAAACACUUUAAAAUUGUGAUUUUCAUUGUUGACAGAUAAAACACACAAGUAUUUUGAAUGAAUCUCCAAAGCUUUAUUGAUUAGCUCACACUUAUUUAUACACACUUAUAAUUUUGAAUAUAUUGGCUCUUAUAUUUAUAAAGAAAUUAAUUCUUUAACUUUCUGGAUUCUAACUAACUAAUUAAAUAUUCUAAUUAACUAGUCUAACACAGAUCUUUUUUCUUUUUUCUUCUUUUUUCUCAAGGAUUCCUACCUCCACAAAUUUAUAAAAUGAAGUUUUACAAGGCCUUCCAACAAUGAAUUAAGGAAUUGGGCAGGUAUUAUCCAACAUGGAGAAAGCCACUCUAUGAACUUGCCAUCAGCGAUUGGCUUUGGGCCAAAUCUGAAGGACCUUCGGCGUGCUCUUUAUUUUAAAGAAAGAGAAACAAAUGACACAUCGGCUAUAAUGGUAGAUGAUGAGGUGCCUACUUAGCACUAACUCAGAGUCCAACCAUUAUUGUGAUGAUCAAAACUAUGAAGAGAUUUUUUUGGGUUGAAAAUUUAAUCUUCAACCAAUCUUUGUAAAUAAAAAAAAUUUAAUAAAUACUAUAAAAAACCUUUUUAAAUUAUUUAAUUAUCCCAAAACACAAUAAAAUAACCCAAAACAAAUAUUAAAAUCAACCAAAUAUACAAUCUCUAAAUUGAGGCCAAUUGAUUUUUAUAAACAAGAUAAAGGUUUAAAACUAGUACAAUCAAAUUUUCAUUGUCAAAUAGAAUCCGUUUAUAUUAUAAACAAUGAGUUCUUUUAUUGAGAAAUAACUCACCUAGUAAUGUUCUCUUUUCUAGCUAUUUUCCAUUGAGUUUCUGUUCAUCUCUUUAACACAAAGAGCGAAUAAUGAACGAGUUGAAUUUUAGGAUCAAAAUAAAAAUUAUAGUAAAUUUAAGAUUGGCCAUGUAUUUUCAUUUUUUUUUCAUUUUAAUUCUCUAUUUCUUAAUUUUGUAUUUUCAUGAUAAUUUAAAAUAUAAUUUCAUCUAAUUAAUUAUACUAUAAAAGGAUUCAUUGAAAGAAAAAAAACAUUGAAAAUGAAAAAAAGAAAAGGCAAGAGCUUUAAUUAUAUAAAUAAUGAAACCGACCUUUGUUGGUUUAAUUGUUUUUAUAAUUAUAUCCAAAGACUCUUUGAAAAUUAAUUAAAUAAAAGACUUUUAACUCUUUUUUUAUGUAAUAAAAAAUAGAAGAAGUCGGAGUUGGGUACUCCUUCCAUAUGUAACCCUUUGGUGUUUAUAGCAUAAGGUUCAUGCGAGAAGGGUAUAAAUAUUUUAAGAUAUGGCUAGGAAUUGUGGCAAGUGAUUAAAGUGCCGUUUAUUUUUUUUUGGUUUUGAUAUAUUAAUAUUAAAAAUAUAUUUUUUUAAAAAAUUAUUUUAUUAUAUUUUUAAAUAAAAAAUAUUUUAAAAAAUAACUGUUAUUAUAUAUAUAAAAAAGGUAACAUCACUAUAUAUUAUUAAAAAAUAAUUUUGUUAGCAUCUUAUUGGCUUCACGCUUAAAAAGCCUAAAACAAUGCACUAAUAUGGAUAAAAAUCAUAAAUAUUAUAUAAACAUAGUUGAUUUAAAUAAAUUUUAUAUAAACAUAGUUGAUUUAAAUAAAUUUUAUUAACUUUAUAACUAAAAUAGGAAUUUUAAUACAUAUUUUUUAUUUGUUUUUCAUAUAAAGUUAAUAAUUAAUAAUUUAAUUAAUUUUUCCUUUUUUUCAUAAAAGCUAAUUAUUAGUAAUUGUGCUCAUUCCAUAUCUAAUUAAGAAAAAGACUAAAACAACAAUAUAUAAUUUCUUAACACUAGUUAAUUUCGUUUUCUAUAUGCCAACUCAUGCAUUAUACAAAAUCAUAAAUAAUAUAAAAAAAAACCUCUUAAACCAUCCCUAACCUAUAUAAACUUUAUAUUGAUUAUCAAAACUGUAAAAAUACUUUAAAACAAGUCAUUGAAGGCCAAUAAUUCAAAUCUAAAAUUAUAUCAAAUCUUUAAGGAUUUAUGUUUUGAAGUUCUCCUUAUAUAUAUAAACUUGAUAAAAGUAUUAAAUAUAUAGGUGAAUAAUUCACGAGUGAAGCCCAUGGUAAGAACUCUAAUAAUUAAAUACAUGCAAGUUUUUGCUUUUAAUAGUUGAGUGAACUUAGUUGUUGUCUAGAAGACUAUCAUAUAUUAUUAUAUUGAUGAUAUUGCCAACUAAUUUUUCAAGCAGUUGAUUAUAAGUUCCUUUAAAUAAUAAUGAUGUAUUUGAAUUUUAUUUAGCACAAUGAAAUUACUUUUUUUUUUUUCUAAAAAAAGAGAAGAACUUAUCAGUCAAUAAAAACAGCUUAUAGAAAUUUCAAAGAAAUGGAGACGUCAAAUUAGCGCUCGUCAACAAAUCCAGAAUGGCUUUCUGUCCACUAUCAUUAUCGCAGUUGCUUUAGCUCUAAAAAUUGUCUGCCAUGAAAAUGUUCUAUAAGAACUUUCCACCAAGUCAACGUUUGUUCUCUCUAAAUGUGGCAUGACCUUUUUCAUUGACUUCAGCCUCCAGUCUUGCUCUACUCCUUGUCCACGUUACCUUUACUGAAAUAUUUCUUUCUUCCACCAUGAGGUCUGUUAGCUAGAGAAAUUGAUCGCCAAAAAGAUGAACUCUCGCAAAUACAUAUUUAAAAAAAGCUUUAAAAAAUGUGUACCUGAAUUUAUAACAAGUCUUUUGAAAAAAUUAACUUCUAUAUGUAAAUUGACCAAGAAAACUGUGUUUUUCUUCAAACACUUUUUUUGUUUAUUUUUUUUUACAUAAAUUUUGAUGAAAUAAAUAUACUGUAAUGGAUAUAGAGAAGAUUAAUUUUCUAAAAAGACUGUUUAAUUAACACAUCCAUCAAUAAUACAAUUAUUAAAAUAGAAAACUACUUCUCAUUAUUAUAUUUUCAGUUUCUAUAGUUUGUAAUUUUAAAAGAAGACUUCUUUAAAUAAAAAAAUUCUAAAAUUUUAUAAUUUUUAGCAAAUUAUUAAUUAAUAUUUCCUUACAAUAGAUUCUUAGUUAUAGUUUCAUGUUGUUGAUUGAUGAAAAGACUUGUACUUUUUUUUUCAAUGGAACAAUUAUUUAUGUGUCUUGCAAGAUUAAAGGCUAAAGUUUUCUUCUCUCUAUAUAUAUAUAUAUAUAAUUUUUGUUUUUACUUUCUGUCCACUAUCAUUAUCGCAGUUGCACUUUGUCUAAAACUUUAAAAUAAUUAAGUUAUUAUUUAGUUGCACAUUUGCUUUAGCUCUUUGUCUGCCAUUCAAAUGUUGUAUAAGAACUUUCCACCAAGUCAACGUUUGUUUUCUCUGAACUUGUUAUAGAAAUUUCUAAGAAACAAACACGGCAAGGGACUCCGUGGUCUCUGUCCCCACUAUCAUUGAAUUUUUUAUAAACAGCAAUAAAUGAGGGCACGACUUUUUUCAUUGACUUCAAUCUCCAGUUUUUCUAAGCUUCUCUCCAUUCCUUGUACACAUUACCUUUCAUUUCAUCUGAUAAAAAGAUACAACUUUCUUUCCUCCACCGUGAGGGCUGCUAGCCAGCUGAUCACCAAAAAGAUGAACUCUCUCAAAUUCUACGUUAUCCUGCUCUCGUUGCUUACCCUUGCUAUUAUCACUCUAGCACAGGAGGAUGCCAAUUACCUCUAUCAUAAUUGCCAAAACGCAACCACCUCCACAUUAAACAGCACCAACCGAGCCAGAAAAACAAUUGAUAGUGGAUGAUGAGAUCAAGGCUUAAAGAAAGAGCAAAGUAGCUUACACAGCAAGUUUAAAGUAACACCUCGUUCCACAAGCUUGAAAAAAAAUAAUAAAAAAAAUAAUAAACUAAUGAAAAUAAUUAUAGGGCCCAAGAUCAAAUCAAUUGCUCAAGCGGGAAUCACACUUUAUUUUAAUUAUGUCAAGCUUUUAUGCGAAUCACAAUCACAAGCUGCAUAAAAUAGCAAGAGAAGACCUUCAACUCUUGAACCCAAUCGAGGAAAUUGCAACCAUGUGCGAAAAGGCAUUUGAGAUUCUGAGUGAAUAAGUCUGGACAGUACUCGUGGCAUGGAGUGUGACUUUGAUUAUAUUUUCUCUUAAAUAAGAGGAGCAAAAAGUCACUGGCAAACACUUUGUAGGGGAGAUGUCACUUCGAGUUCUUGUCAGACGUGUUUGAGAGAUGCAAGCCAAAAACUGUUGAAAGAUUGCGAAAGUAAAGAAGCAAUCAUAUGGUAUGAACGAUGCCAAAUUCACUACUAGUUUCAGAAUAUAAUUUCAUUGGAUGUUUAUUCCGGGAAGUAUCCAGACUUGGAAUCUCAUAAUAAAUCCGUAUCAGAUCCUGUUCAUUUCUACGACAAUGUAAGGUUCCUCAUGGACAGCCUGUCAAAUGAGGUGGCGCUCAAUCGUUCAAAGCUCAUGUUUGAAACUGGGGAAAUCAAGUUUUCAAGGAACGAAACCAUAUAUGGCCAUGUACAGUGCACUAGAGAUAUCAGAGAAGAUGAGUGUCACAAAUGUUUGAGCUCUGCUUUGAUUGAUCUCAAGGGAUGUUGUUCUUCGAAGCAAGGUGGAAUUAUUGUUAGUAGGAAUUGCAAUGUAAGAUUUGAGCUGUACAAAUACUACAACACCUCAAGUCACUUGAUAACAUUCCCAACUCCUCAAGGUGAGUAAACAUAAUUUGUUUUUACUGAUGAACUGUCAGCAAACAGAAGUUAUGUUUUGAUUACACUUUAGCAAGAAAGGGCAGUACCAGUAACUCUUGGUGUUUCAAAUGCUGGCUUUACUCACAAGUACCCAAUUUGUUAAUGAUUGAUAUUGUUACUAUUAAUUCAUUCUUUGAAAGGUAAUGUAUUGUCCAGAAUCCUAGUCCAUUAUUAAAUGAUAUGCUACCAAAUUCUUGCUUUGCAAGGCAGGAGUAAUUGGAAGAUGGUGGCAAUUACAGUGUUUAUACCUACAAUGGUGCUUACAUUAAUAGUCAUUGGAUCUUCCAUUUUCUGUCUGAGGCGAAAAAGAAGAAGACAAAGAGGUAUCUGAACCAAGUGACCACGUCCACUUUAAUUAAAUAGGUUAAUUUACAUCCCAAUUCAAAAGUACAAAACUCUUAUUUUUUGGCAGACAUGGAAAGAAGUCACCUAACAUUAUUAAAGGAAUCAGCAAGUCCCAUAGGGUUCACAACGACAGCAGAAGGACAGUUGGUAAGUUCUGAGGACCUGCGUUUCAUGGACUUAAAUACUAUCAGAGCAGCCACAGACAACUUCUCCGACUCGAAUAAGCUUGGACAAGGUGGGUUUGGCACUGUUUAUAAGGUAAGUUGUAAAGGGGCUUCUCUGUCACAAUCCACUGAGAUUCAGCUGUCUUCGCAGUCCAUCCCUCUAAAAGGAAAACCCAGUUUUUUAUUCAGUUUGACAUGGUUAAGUAUUGCUUCGGUUCACAAAAUUUUCAUCACUGCAAAUUGUUUCAGGGUGUGUUAACAAAUGUGAAAGAAAUAGCUGUUAAAAGGCUUUCAAUAAAGUCAUGGCAAGGUUUAGAGGAGUUCAAGAAUGAAUUCAUACUAAUUGAAAAAUUACAACACCGAAACCUGGUGAGGCUGUUGGGAUGUAGUAUGGAAGGAGAGGAAAAGCUGCUCAUAUAUGAGUUCAUGCCUAACAAAAGCCUUGAUAUCUUUAUCUUUGGUCUGUUCCUUUCAUUUAUUUUGCAUUUGAAUUCUUAAAUUUUACAUUUUCAACAAUCAAUUGACGCAAGAGGCUGAAGUUUCUUCUUAUUCAAAUUUCAGAUGCCGGAAGACGAGCACAGCUUGGUUGGGAGACAUGUUACAACAUAAUUGGUGGCAUUGCUAGAGGACUUCUUUAUCUACAUGAGGAUUCCCGGCUUAGAAUCAUUCACCGGGAUUUGAAACCUAGCAAUGUUCUACUGGACCACGAGAUGGUUGCCAAGAUAUCAGACUUUGGCAUGGCUAGAAUUUUCGGCGAAAACCAGAACAAAGCAAACACCAGAAGAGUAGUAGGAACAUUGUAAAUCCUCCUUCUUCUCCUCUAUUCUUUUUUCUUGUAUUCUGACGAUUUUGAUCCGUAAUUUUAAUCUCCUGGGGUUUUCUUACACGUGAAGCAGCGGAUACAUGGCUCCAGAGUACGCAAUGGAAGGAAUAUUCUCAGUGAAAUCGGAUGUCUUCAGCUUUGGUGUUAUACUUCUUGAGAUCAUAAGUGGGAAAAGAAGCAGUGGUUUUUACCUCACAGAGCAUGGCCAGACACUCUUAGCAUAUGUGCGUACAAUAUUUUCCCUACCCUUGAACAUUUUCCCUUAAUCUUGGCAGGUCAUGUUAUGAAACCAAAUUCACAGGCAUGGAGAUUAUGGAUUGAAGGGAAAGCAAUGGAGUUUGUGGAUCCUUUGUUGGUGGAAAGAGGCCCAGCAGAAUGGAUUUUGAGGUGCAUGCAUAUUGGGCUGUUAUGUGUGCAGAAGGAUCCAGCAGACAGGCCCACAAUGUCAUUUGUGGAUUUAGCAUUGGCAAGCGACCCAAUAGCUCUUCCUCAACCACAGCAACCGGCCUUUUCUCUUGUUAAAAUUGUUCCAGCUGGCAAGUCUUCAUCAACAGAUCCUUCAGUGAAUCAGAUGACAGUCUCUAGUUUCUUACCGAGGUGAUUGUAAAUGAAAUUGCCACUAUGUUAAUGUGUCUGGCAACAAUGUGUCUCAUAUUCUUAACCACUUUGUUAAUGUGCCAUGCUUGUCCAUGAACAUAUUCAACUUGUGUCUAAUUUCAACAACAACAAUGAGAAAAUAGUGACAUUUAGUUACUUGAUUAGCACUUAAUCUCCUAAAAAUGAGCUAGUUUAGUAUAAAUAUGGGCUUAAAGCCUACUUUUCAUUGGAAGUUUUUUUUUAAAAAAAAUCAAAACAAGAGAAUAUUCAGGUUUUAUUAAUAUGUAUUUAGUUUUUUAAAAAAACAUAAUCAUAAAUUGAAAAGCCUAUAUAUACAUUUAAUUAAAUAAAUCAAGAAUCAUAUUUAUCAAUAAUUACAAAAAAAAAAAAGUAUUGAUGUAUUUAUUCGACUUUCUUCACUGCGAGUUAGAUAUUUUUUCUCUAAUACAAGAGAAUAAAUGUGUAGUUAUUGUUAAUGUGUUUUUUUAACCCAAAUAUAUUAAAUUAAUUAUUUAAUAUGCAUUAAUUUUUUUUUAAAAUACAUAUUAAAAAUAUAUCAAUUAAUUUUAUUUUUUUUACAAAUCUUCCAUUCUAUAGUACUGCUAUAGUAAAAAAAAAUUCAAUCAUAAUUUUAUUUUAGUUUUGUUUUAUAUCUUGUUUUUUUUAUGUCUAUUAUUUCUAUUUUUUUUAUCUCAAAAUAAUAACCAAACAUAAUGUUAAAAAUUAAUAAGGAAUGGUGGCAGGUGACUAAAGUCCCGUUUGAAGCAACGAAUGAUGGUUUUUUUCGUAUAAAACCUAAUCAUUUUAAUAACUAUUUUUAUGCCUUUUCGUUUAAAGCUAUUUUUUAGUAAUUUAAUUAACUUUGUUUGUAAGAAAUUGAUUUUUAGAAUUUGUAUUCAUCCUAUCUCUAAUUAUCAAGUUGACCUUAGAAUACAAACCUUAAUUAAGUCACGAUCAGAAAUAAAAUUUUCAAGGAUUCUCUAAUUUCCAAAACAGGUAUCUUAUCUUAAUUUGAUAACACUAAAAAUAAGUUAAUGAAAAAUCAACCUAAUGAUACCACAAAAGGGAAAAAAAAAUCAGGUAGCCAAAGACUGAAGUACUACAAGAUGUGAAUUAUUACAUAAUUACUACCUUUAUAAAUCCUAUUUAAGAAAUUCUAGUAAGACAUCAUCAAACAAGAAAAAAACUUUCCAACGUAGAAAAACGCACACAAAGAAGAACUAACGGUACAUGUUCAGCGCGAGGAAUGAUCAUUAUACAUACCUUAAUCCCACGGCAAAGCAACAUAAAUUCCAAAUUAGAAAUUUCAGCAUGACUGAUAAUAUAUUUAAAUUCAUUUUUUCCUAAUUGAAUAUAUAUAUAUAUAUAUAUAUAUAUAUAUAUAUAUAUAGAGAGAGAGAGAGAGAGAGAGAGAGAGAGCGCUUAUUAAUACAUAUUUGUUAUUAAAAAACAAAAAGUCAAAGAGAGGAGAAUUUCAUUCCUGUUUAGAUAAACGACGUGGAUGAUAAUUGUAUCUUGUAGAACAGAGAGCUAUUCUCGUCCGAAGAAUCUCUAUUAAAAUUAAUUAGGAAAGAUAUUUUUAGGUUUCUUUGAUGGUAAUAAAAAUGUAUAAGAUGAUGGCGUCUGGUAUCCCUUCCAUAGGUCCCUUUGGCGUUUAUACCCCUACGGUUCAUGUGAUAAGUGUACAAGUAUCUUACAUAAUAUUUGGUUAUUGAUGUGAGAUACAAGGGAUGAAGACAAUGAAGAUAUAAAUACAUUUGAUUUAAGAGAUAGAGAUAUAGAGAUAAAUUUAUUUUUGGAAUAUAUUUAAAAGUAUACUUUCAAAAUAAAAAAUACAAAGUGAAUAUGUUUUUAGAGACAAUAUUUAUUAUUUUUAUUUCUAAAAUAUCCAAUAAAAAACUCUCAAUUCCAAAAUAUUCAAGACAUGUAAAAAUAAAAAUUAUUAUUAUUAUAAUUUUAAAACCAAACUUGGAAGUCGAUCUAUAGCAAAUCCUAUAUCACUAGUCGAGGCAUAGGUCACAAGUUGGGUUAACCCGAUUCAACGUAAGUAUAAAAACGGUUAUGAUAAUAGUUUUAAAACGCUAUUUGGUAGUCAAUCCCGGGCAAGACUCGGUUCACAAGUGGGAUUGACCAUUGACCCAUGUUAACAUAAAAACAAAAAUGGUUAUUAUCAUAGUUUUUAAAUAAAACUAGGUUUAUUAUAAUAUUAUUAAUUUCAACAAUAUAAACUAAAGUAAAAAUAAAAUAAAAUAUAGAAUUAUUUUUUUAAUAUGUAAGUUUGAUAACAAUAUAUAUAAAAUAAUUUUUUUCAUAUUUUAUUUUGUCUUAUCUACCAUAAUCAAAUAUAAUACAGAGAUAAUUAUUUUGUUUUGUAUAUAACUACCAAUCAUAAUUUUAUUUUAGUCUUAUUUUAUGUCUUGUCUCCUCUAUAUCUAUUAUCUCUACUUUUUUAUUUUAUUUUUAUCUCGGAAUAAUAACCAAACAUUAUGUUAAAAAAUAAUAAGGAAUGGUGGCAGGUGACUAAAGUCCCGUUUGAAGCAAAGAAUGAUGGUUUUUUUUUUUUUGUAUAAAGCUAAUUAAAACCUAAUCAUUUUAAUAACUAUUUUUAUGCAUUUUCUCGUUUAAAGCUAAUUUUUAGUAAUUUAAUUAACUUUGUCUGUAAGAAAUUGAUUUUUAGUAUUUGUAUUCAUCCUAUCUCUAAUUAGGAAAGUUAUUAAAACAACAAUACAUAAUUUCUAAAUAUAGUACGUAUGGAAAUGACGACGUAUUUAUACUUUAUUUAAAAUAAUAAAAUUAGUAUUUUCUUUUAUUAAAAAAGAAAUAACUUAUAGAAAUUUCAAAGAAAGGGACACUAAAGUAGCACAAAGCAAUACGGCAAAGGACGCCGAAUGAUCUCUGCCCACUAUCCUGAAGGACGACCUUUAGCACUUCUGCAUGAUUCCAUAUUUCUUUCAAUAACUAAGACCCUUCAGCAUUUUUUUUCCUUACACAAACACGCAAUAAAAGUACUGGCAUGACUUUUCUCAUUGAACAGAGUCUCCAGUUUUGCUAAGCUACCUCCAUUCCUUGUUCACAUUACCUCUCAUCUGAUAAAAGGAUGGACUCUCUUUCUUCCACCAUGAGGGCUGCUAGCUAGCUAGAGAGCUUGAUCACCCAAAAGAUGAACUCUCUCAAAUUCUACGUUAUCCUGCUCUCGUUGCUUACCCUUGCUAUUAUCACUCUAGCACAGGAGCAUAACAACUACCUCUAUCAUAAUUGCCAAAACGCAAACACCUCCACAUUAAACACCACCUACUUAGUCAAUCUAAAUCUCCUCCUAUCUUCACUUGCCUCGAAUGCAACCCCGAAUAAUACCAUUGGAUUCUACAGCACCUCUUUCGGGCAGAGCACUCAUCAAGUGUACGGCCUGUUUAUCUGCCGUGGCGAUCUUAGCAGCACUACUGUUUGCCAAAGUUGUGUCACCUUCGCUACCAAAGAUAUAGUCCAGCGUUGCCCAAUCGGAAUAGCGUCCAUUGUGUAUUACGAUGCGUGCAUCCUACGUUACUCUAACGUGAACUUUUUCUCUAUGGUGGAUCGAAGCCCUGGUUUCAACUUGUCUAACACAAAGAAUAUCACUAACGAACCCCAGCGUUUUAACAAUCUAGUGGGAGCCACCUUGAAAGAUUUGGCUGAUCGAGCUGCAAGUGCUCCUCCAGGUGCUAAAAAGUUUGCUGUGAAUGAAACAUCUUUCGAUGCGUUCCAAUAUAUAUACAGCCUUGCCCAGUGCACACCGGAUUUAUCUAGCUUUGAUUGCAAGAACUGUCUCAGGGCAGUAAUUGCUAGAUUGCCCAUUUGCUGCAGCAGCAAGAGUGGAGGAAGAGUCUUGUUUCCUAGUUGUUAUAUUCAUUAUGAAAUUUAUAUAUUUUAUAUUGCAACGGCAGUCGCAGCGGAGUCACCUCCUCCUCCGCCCGUGGUUCUUCCUUCUCCUCCACCUCCUCGUUCAGUGACAAUACCAGAAGGUAAAGUUAGUUUGCACUAUUUAUUGUUUUUUGUCAAUAUCUUCAAUUGCCACUCUAGCAAAGUCGUUACUAUAGAAUGCACUCGUCGAAAUUUAAAUUUAUCUCUUAAAUUUUUUGGAUGAGAUUUAUUUAUUAAAUUAUGAAAUACAAAAUCCUUAAAUUAUUUUGGAAAAAAAAUCUAUCCUUUUGUAAAUUUUAAAAUUAUACAACAAUUUUUUUUUCCUAGUCGGUUGAUAUUCUUAAUUCAAAUGUGAUGGUUUUGGCCCGAUUCAUGUUUACCAUGUUUGGAUCAAGAAUUGCCUUCCUCCAUGAACAAUUUUUAAAAAACCCAUCUAAAAUAAGAAAAAAAACCUUGCAAGAACAAAUCCCACCACACUACAUAUUUUUUUCAAAGCUACAACCGAAUCGUCACGAAUGUAGGAAUCCCACCACACUACAUAUUUUUUUCUAGUAGAGAUUUGCGACACGAUUCAUCAAUUCAAUUUUUACUCAUCAAGAUUAAAUCAAUCUUUUUAAUAGGUAAAUUUUUUAUUGGUUUUGAAAAUGACCCGGUAAUUUUUAGCUUGUUGUCGGGUUUUUUGAUUAGUUCUCGAAAUUAAUAUCUUUUUUUGAUUCUAUUCUUGAAUAUUUGAUAUUAUUUUAAAAAUAAUUUAUAUGAUUAAUUUUUUUCAUAUUUCAUUUCCCUUUAUUUUUUAUCUUUCGGAUUGUGUUUUCAAUUUUUAUUUAUUUAUUUAAUUUAAAAUAACAUUUUUAAUUUAUUUUCUUUCUCUAGGAUCUUUUAUUGAUUUUAAAAAUAACUCAGGUUUUCUUAAAUUUUUUUAUUUAUUUUUUUGUGUUGGAUUUACUUUCGCCGAUCAAUAUUAAAUUAGUUAAAAAUUGAGUUUCUUGAUUCGGCUUAAAUUUAGAAUUUAAUAGGUUGUGAAUUUGAGAUAUUUACCUGGUUUUAAAAGGUUCAUUUAAUUUUGUUUUGCCUUUUUAAGCUGAUGACUUUUUAAUUUUGUUAUUUAAUAUUUAUAUAAUUAAUUAUUAGACUUUUGUUUUUUUAUUUUUGAGCCUUCUAUAUUAUUAUGUUUUCCAUAUGUUAACCUUUUUACUUUGCUAGGUCUAUGGCUAGUGUCAUGUUUUUUUUUUAAAAAAAAAUAAAUCAUGUUUGCCUCAUAAAAUUACAAAUGUUUUUUAAUUUCAUUCCUUUUAUUUUUUUUAUCUUUUAAAUUUGGUCCCUAUUAUUUUGAUUGCUAUUUGUUUUGUUUGUGAUUAUUUUUUUUAUUACUAUCUUUUUUCUUUUUCAAGUUUUUUAAAUUAAUAUUUUUUUCAUGAUUUUAUUUUUUAAAAUUAAAUUGGUUGAGAAUUAAGUUUCUUGUUUCAACUGGAAUCUAGGAAUUCAUCGGUUGUGAAUUUUAGAGACUGGACCAGGUUUAGAAGGUGUGCUCGGAUUUUCUUAGUUUUUCCCUUUCUUUUUCUUGAAGAUAAUGUUUUUUUAUUAUUAUUUCUUAACCUUUUUUUAGUUUUGCAUUAUUAUUUUUUACAGUUUGCCUUCUAUGAGAUUAGUCUCAUGUUUAUGACUAAGGUCACCAGUUUCAGAGCUUAAUAGGAGUUGACUUGUUUAUGUUUUUUUUUUAAAAUUGAUUUAUUUUUAUUUCAUCUUUCAAUAUUUAAUUUAUUAAAAAGUGGUCUUCACACCUUCUCUUUUCCUUUCCUUAUAUUGGUUUAUCUCUAUUAUAUGCUUAUGGUUAUAGGUUUGCAGGUGAACUCAGGUCAACUCAUAUUUUUUCUUGUUGCCUUUUUAAAUUAUAUAUAUAUUUUUAUAUCCUUCAACGUUGAAUUGUUUGAUAAUUCAGUUUCAUGAUUAUAUUUAAUUUUCUUUUAAAUGUGGUCAUUCUAGUAUCAUAACUAGGUCAUAUAUUUUGCAUCUUAACCCUAAUGGGUACAAAUCAAGUUUUUCAUCCUUUUUUAAUUAUCUUUCUUCUUAAUUUUUAUCUUUCAAUAUUUUAUUUGUUGGAGAUUUAACUUCAACUUUUUUCUUAUAUUUUUUAUUAUUUAAAGUUACCGUGUUCUCAUUUGAUUUAUCAGAAAUUGAACUUUGAGUAUUUUUUUCUUGCAUUUUUUUUCUCUAUAAGAUUAUCUUAAUAUUAUGUCAAUGGUCGUGAAGUUUGCAAGUUAGCCUUUUUUAACUUAGGUGUUUUUUUUUAAUUAUGUUUUGUUUCGCCUUUCAAUAUUAGAGUUGUUUAAUAAUCUAGGUAAGCUCAAGUUAGGUUCUUUUUACCUUUUUUAUUUUAUUUUUUUAUCAAUUUAUUUAGUGUUAUUGUAUUUUAUUAAUCAUAUUAUUUGAAUUACUAAUUGAACCAAUGACUCGAUUCUCAAAUAUAUUUUUUCUUAUCAUUUUUUUCUAUGUUGAAAAUAAAUUUAGCGUAUGCAAGCCACAAAUCUAGUUUGAAUUAUAAAGAGGGAACAUAAAUCUGAACAUAUCUUCAAUCCCAAUUUUUUUUUUUUAUAUAUUCUUUAACCUUUUACUAAAUAUUUCAAGUAAGUUUAUUGAGUAAGUUUUUGGAGUAUGUCCAUGUGGGCCAUCUGGACUAUGAAAUUUCAUUAUAAUAGUAAAUGCAAUGGUUUUGAUAACCAUCACUAUUGCACGGAUGUUAUGAAAAGAGGCAUUGGUGCAUUCUGAUAUAGUAAUUUAAUAAAAUUUGAGAAAGUUUAACCAAAUUGCGAAUGACAUAUUUUGAUAGCAUUUGGUCAUUCCAUGAGAAAGCAAUAUUGAACUUAUAAGUUAUAACCCUGUUUCUAAUUAUAAUGGAUCCAAAAUCAAAAAGAUAUUCAUGGUGGAUUGUCAACAUGUUACAAAAGGUUAAUUACUGGCUUCAAAGCCACUUUUGGCUUUAAAUCAUGGAAGCAAAGUUAUACAACUCGGCCAGUUAUAUGAUAUGAUUCAGCUCAAGAUAUGAAUUAUGAGUUAGGUUAGUUUGUACAGGUAAAUUUAAUCUAGUAUCAUUUUAAAAUUUAUUUAAAAAAACAUUUAAAAUGAUUUUUCUUUUUAAAAGAAAAACUCAUAAAGGAUCUUAUUCAUAUUUUGACUAGGUCAAUCAAGUUAUAAAGUCAGAAUAAUCAAGCUUGACAUGAAUAACUCUCAACACGGUUUAAUAAAAAACCUUGUUUAGGCUAGUUACUGGUCGGCAGUUUGAUUGACCAAACCAAGCCAGGUUUAUAGCAUUUUUACUAAAAAAACCCAAAAAAAAAAAAGGAAAAAAAAAUAGCUCCCAUGACAUUCAAUAUGCUUGUACGUUAAAGUUAAAAGCAUUACGAAUUACAAUGCGUUUUUGAAUGUUACAUGUUUCUUUUUGCAGAAAAAGGCGGUGUCUCAACAGUUUUAAUUAUAGCCAUUGUCAUUCCCAUUGUUGUUUCUAUCGCGCUUUUGAGCAUGUGUCUCUGUUUCCGGAGGAGGGCAAGAAAGACCAGAGAUUAUGUGCCAGAAAAUGAUGGUAAAGAACAUUAGAAAUCUUUUUUAAUUGGGAAACAAAAAAAUAAAAGCAGAGUCUUUUCUGUUUUGUACUCUGCCUAAUAAUAUUUUCAAAAGCUCAAAGGAAUAUCUACUUGUGUUGUGUAGUUGGAGAUGAGAUUACCACCGAGGAGUCCUUGCAAUUUGAUUUGAGUACUAUAGAAGCUGCCACGAACAAUUUCUCCGCUGACAACAAGUUAGGUGAAGGAGGAUUUGGUGAGGUUUACAAGGUAAGAAAUUCGUGAUGCGUUUAAAUUUUCAAGAACAGGAAAUACCUUGUUGCAUUCGUAUUUGAAAAUCCCUUGCUCAAGCAUCGGUGAAAGUGCUUUCUCAGGGAACACUUCCUAAUGGACAGCAAAUUGCUGUGAAGAGGCUAUCAAGAAAUUCUGGACAAGGUGCUGCAGAAUUUAAGAAUGAGGUUGUAUUGGUAGCCAAGCUUCAACACAGGAAUCUAGUGAGGUUGCAAGGGUUUUGCUUGGAAAGAGAAGAAAAGAUUCUUGUCUAUGAAUUUGUCAGCAACAAAAGCCUUGACUACUUUCUAUUUGGUAUAUAUUGAUGAUUUCCUAAAUGUUCUUCUCAUUGCCUUUUAGGACGAGACAUGCAUAUUUGCCUCUUUUUUUAACCUAUGGAUCUGCAAUCUUACUCGAAGGUUCUUUUUUCUUGAUUUUGUAGACCCUCAAAGGCGAGGACUGUUGGACUGGUCCAGACGGUACAAAAUAAUAGGAGGCAUUGCUCGAGGAAUUCUUUAUCUUCACGAGGACUCUCGGCUACGAAUUAUACAUCGUGACCUCAAAGCUAGCAAUAUUCUGCUAGAUGGAGAUAUGAACCCCAAAAUCUCAGAUUUUGGCUUGGCUAGGAUUUUUGUAGUCGAUCAAACUCAAGCAAGUACCAUUAGAAUUGUUGGAACAUAGUAAGUUUGGAUCUAAUUCCCGUUGAUUAGUAACUUCAUCUGCUGACAGAGUUCUUUCAUUUCGUAUUUUUCUAAUCAUUUCUCUGUUUUCUGGUUUGUAGUGGUUAUAUGUCCCCAGAAUAUGCAAUGCAUGGGCGUUUCUCUGUCAAGUCGGAUGUUUACAGCUUUGGUGUCUUAAUCCUUGAGAUUAUAACCGGAAAGAAGAACAGUUCUUUCUAUCAAACAGGGGGUGCUGUAGACCUUGUGAGCUAUGUGAGUGCAAGUUUUUCUCUCUUGAAAGCUGAUACCAUCACCAUAAAUUCAACAUCUGGGUUUUACAUCUUGAAAACAAAUAGCAUAAGAUGUAGCAACUUUUGACCAUUCAAUUUUCUGUUUUCAGGUUUGGAAACAUUGGAGAGAUGGGACACCAUUGGAAGUGUUGGAUCCAACUCUGACAGAUACAUAUUCAAGAAACGAAGUAAUUAGAUGCAUCCACAUUGGAUUGUUAUGUGUUCAUGAAGAUCCAGCUAUCAGACCCGCAAUGGCAACAAUUGUUCUCACACUCAAUAGUUUCUUGGUUACCUUACCAUCACCUCAAGAGCCUGCAUUUUUUUCCCGUAGCACUAUAACAGAUGAAGUGAACAUUUCUUAUUCUGUAGAUGAAGGUUCAAUUACUGAAGUAUAUCCUCGAUAGGGAGUAGGUGUAUUUUCUCUAAAAUAAGCAUAGGAUAAAAAACUUGAGGUCAAUUUUUCAGUACCAAACACUUUAAAAUUGUGAUUUUCAUUGUUGACAAAUAAAACACGAGUAUUUUGAAUGAAUGCCCAAAGCUUUAUUGAUUAGCUCACACUUAUUUACACACUUAUAAUUCUUAAUAUAGUGGCUCUUAUUUAUAAGGAAAUUAAUCCUCUAACUUUCAUAAUCUAAUAAGAAUUCUAAUUAACUAAUUAAGGAUUCUAAUUAACUAUUUCUCAAGAAUUCCUACCUACACAAUGAUUAUAACUAUUAUCUAACAAUCUCUUCCUUAAACAGGUGUCACCCAGUUUAACAAUGAAGAAUUUUCAUUUAACUUUCUCUUAACAUCUAUUUAUACCAAUGAUCUUUUGUACUUUUAGAAGUUUUGUUAAUUUUCUCGUAUUAUUUUUCUUAAUGAUAACAAUAUCAUCAUCCAUAAACUUUUGCCACUUUAUUUGUUUUCAGCAUUUUCAAAAGUCAUAGGAUCACACAAUGAGAAUAUAGCAAAAUAGCAAGUACAUCAUCAGAUUAAUUGAUUUUAGUUGCCUCAUAAUUAUUCAUCCAUGUAGGCCUUUUGUAGCAUGUUGUAAUUGUUGAUCAUUAUUUGCUAUGUUAUCAAUGGCACUUGAUCACCUAUUAAUUGUGGUGAUUUAUUCAUUAGCCUCUCUUUUUUUCUCGGAAGUUUUUUUUUUAUAUUUGAAGCAACUUGUUCCAACUCUUUUUCUUGUUUUUUUUUUUUUUUUUUAAGAGCAGCAAUAUGUUAAAGCUCGCUUCUCUUUUCAAGCUCAAAAGUUUCUUUUCAUCCCUUAAAUAGCUUAUUAUCUCUUCACACCUUUUAUUGAUAUUGCUCUCCAAUUCCUUCUUCUGCACCUCAAUGACUAACAAGAAGUUUACAUAUUCCUUCUAAAUCCUGUUGAGCAAUUUAGAGUGUUCUUGCUCCAUUUCAUUCACAAAAUCUUUAUAUUUAUGAUUAAGUGACUAAACAUCUUGUUGAUGUUGGUCUUGUAUUGUUUUUUUUCUCUAGUUGAAGGCUAUAAUGCUUAUCUUUGAGUAACCAAAAAAAUCUCUCUCUCAUCUACUACACAUUUGACUUCAUUUCUUAGCUCUUUAUUUUUUUUUUUUAUUGAUCAACUCUCACUCAAUUUCAAUAAUACCAUAUUCAUCCUAAUCAAUAAAAGCAACUUUUUUUUUCUUGUUAGCAUUAACAUCACCAAACAUUAUAAAAUCUAGAUAAUAUUCAUCUAAACUAGAUACAUGGCCAAUCGAUUUUUAUAAACAAGAUAAAGGUUUAAAAAUAGUACAAUCAAAUUUUCAUUGUCAAAUAGAAUCGGUUUAUUUAUACUAUGAAUAAUGAGUUUUUUUAUUGAGAAAUAACUCAUCUAGUAAUGUUCUCUCUUCCUGUUUUUCAUUGAGUUUCUCUCUCAUCUCUCUAAUAUAAAGAGCGAAUAAUAAACAAGAUAGAUUUUAGGAUCAAAAUAAAAAUUAUAGCAAAUUUAAGAUUGGCCAUGUAUUUUAACUUUUCUUUUUCAUUUUAGUCCUCUAUUUCUUAAUUUUUUAUUUUCAUAAUAAUUUAAAAUAUAAUUUCAUCUAAUUAUAAUAUAAAAGGAUUCAUUGAAAGAAAAAAAAAACAUUGAAAAUGAAAAAAGAAAAGGGAAGAGCUUCGUUCUUUAUAUAAACAAUGAAACCGACCUUUGUUGGUUUAAUUGUUUUUAUAAUUAUAUCCAAAGACUCUUUGAAAAUUAAUUAAAUAAAAGAUUUUUAACUUUUUUUUAUGUAAUAAAAAAUAGAAGAAGUCGGAGUUUGGUAUUCCCUCCAUAUGUAACCCUUUGGUGUUUAUAGCACAAGGUUCAUGCGAGAAGGGUAUAAAUAUUUUAAGAUAUGGCUAGGAAUUGUGGCAAGUGAUUAAAGUGCCGUUUAUUUUUUUUUUGGUUUUGAUAUAUUAAUAUUUAAAAUAUAUUUUUAAAAAUAAAAAAAUAUUAUUUUAUUAUAUUUUUAAAUAAAAAAUAUUUUAAAAAAUAAUUAACUGUUAUUGUAAAAAAACAAAAUAGAGGUAGCAUCAUUAUAUAUUAUUAAAAAAAUAAUUUUGUUAGCAUCAUGGAUCGCCUCACGCUAAAAAAGCCUAAAACCAUGCACUAAUAUGGAUACAUACUUGUUUUUAUACUAUUUAUCUUAUAACCAAUAACUAUAUAUAAAAAGAAUAAAUAUUAUAUAAGCAUAGUUGAUUUAAAUAAUUUUAUCAAUAGGAAUUUUAAUACUGAUUUUUUAUUUGUUUUUGAUAUAAAGUUAAUAAUUAAUAAUUUAAUUAAUUUUUCCUCUUUUUUUUUUCAUAAAAGCUAAUUAUUAGUAAUCGUGUUCAUUCCAUAUCUAAUUAAGAAAAAGACUAAAACAACAAUAUAUAAUUUCUUAACACUAGUUAAUUUCGUUUUCUAUAUGCCAACUCAUGCAUUAUACAAAAUCUUAAAUAAUAUAUAUAAAAAAAAACCUCUGAAACCAUCCCUAACCUAUAUAAACUUUAUAUUGAUUAUCAAAACUGUAAAAAUACUUUAAAACAAGUCAUUGAAGGCCAAUAAUUCAAAUCUAAAAUUAUAUCAAAUCUUUAAGGAUUUAUGUUUUGAAGUUCUCCUUAUAUAUAUAUAUAUAUGACUUAAUAAAAGUAUUAAAUAUAUAGGUGAAUAAUUCACGAGUGAAGCCCAUGGUAAGAACUCUAAUAAUUAAAUACAUGCAAGUUUUUGCUUUUAAUGCUUGAGUGAACUUAGUUGUUGUCUAGAAGACUAUUAUAUAUUAUAAUAUCGAUGAUAUUGCCUGUCGCACCCGACAUCGCGGCGGCCUUAAAAAUUAAUUCUCGAAUCUUUGGAAAGAACGGAUUUCUGGCAUCUUGUUCUUUAAUGUGGAUAUUCUUGUUUAAGGAGUCGCCACCUAGUAUUAUGGUCACUAGGAACCCUAACUGGUCAACAAAGAUUCUAUGGUACGGGACUGGUUACGUAAAAGAGAAGAUAUUAUCACCCUUAAACGUUCUGCCUGAGGCAGACUGCAUUGCUGGUUUUGUCUUAAAUUGCUAAAUGUUUAUUAGUUUACGCUAUGAUAAUUUGCUUAUAAUAUUCCUGACUCUGGCGUCAGUGAAUAUUCAACUACGAAUAUCUCCAACUCUGGCGUUGGUAAAUAUUACAUAGUUAUAAAAUAAAUUAGAUCAAUAUUUUUUUAUUCCCUACUCUAGCAACGAAUAAAUAAAUAAAAAUAAAUUUAUUUUUAAGCAUGCACAUAUUUUUUUAUUUUUCUAGCUAAAUAAAAUAAAUAUAAUGAAUAAAAAUAAUAUAAAUUUAAACCGGUAUUUUUAUUCCUGACUCUAGCGUCAGUGAAUAAACCAAUAAAUUUACAUUAUUUUUAUUCAUGCAUACACAUUUUUAUUUUUUAUUUUUUCUAAUAACGAAUAAAAAUAAUAUAAAUUUAAACCGGUAUUUUUAUUCCUGACUCUGGCGUCAGUGAAUAAACCAAUAAAUUACAUUAUUUUUUAUUUUUUCCCUAGGACUAUUUUUCCUACAUUUUUUUAUUUUUUUUAUUUUUUUCUAGGAUUAAGCUUCACACGUGUAUGCAAAAGUAGUGAAUUAAAUUGGCCUAUGUACAGUACCCAUGCAAUUAUAAUUGCAAAGCAAAGGGAAAUGAAGAACUUACCUGUGCAGGAGGCGAAGUCGAAGACGGUGGCGAAGGUGUGCUGAAUUGCCAAAGCUACCCUCUCGUUGUGCAGGAGGCGAAGUCGAAGACGGUGGCAAAGGUGUGCUGAAUUGCCAAAGCUACCCUCUCUCCUUCUCUGUUUUUAUUCUUCGUGCGCUUCUCCUCUUGUUUUGCUUUUCUUUGCUUUGAUUACUUCUCUUGUUCUUCCUGUCUCUCUCCCUGUGUUUGCUUGUUCUCAGUUCGCUUGUGUUUUCUUUUUUUAUCUGUUGUUCAGGGAAUGGAGGAGAUGGUGUAAGUGGAGACAAAGCAGCUGAUGCCUGAGAGGGCGUUGUACUGCUGCUGGAGCUGGAAGAGGCGCGCGUUGCUGGUUGCUGAUGCAUGCUCCUGGUGCAUGGAAGUGGCUGAGUUGCUACUAAUCUUGACGAUACUGGUUUCGUCCACUGUAAAAGUUUUCAUGCCCCUGCAUCCGAUCAAACUUGUGCUUUUCCAAGCAAAAGCCAUGGUCCCUUGAAACUCAGCAGAUUUUCGGAGCAAGGAGGAUCGCAUGCCAAUGUAGUUCAUGGUUCUGGUUUAGAGGCAGACGUGGCGGAGAUUAAUGGUGAUUGGGACCACAGCCUAGAAGGUGACCGGGAGGAAGAUGAUCUCGGGCCUUUAUUUGCUUCUUCUUUUUUUUUUUGUGAGGAGCUUGCAGAUCCCGGGGGUUGAGGCUGAAGAAUGAAAAAUCAGUUUGAUGGGGGAAGAGAUUGAGGCCAGGAAAGAAGAGAGGAAAAAGCUGGGGGGAGGGGGCAGCGGCGGCUAGUCUAGGACUCGGCCGCCCCCCCCCCCCCUUUUUUUUGUAAAUGUUUUUUUUCCUUUUUUUUAUAGGUUUCUGGUAAUGGUCUUCUCCUGGUUUUUUUUGUGUCGUUUAGGGUUCCUCUCCAAUCCUCCUCCUUUUCUUUGCAUAGACUGGGAUCAGUAUUUAUAGGCAAGAGUCCCAUCGCUUAUAAGAAGUACAGUCUCAAUCAAACCCAUUCUCUUUUUUGAAGUUUGAAUUAGAAUCGAAUUCGAAAUCAGACAACUAUCAUUAUCUUGAAGGUAAGGAUUAUCUCGAAAGUAAGAAUUAUCUCAAAGAUAAGGAUAGAAUGACAAAAGCACACUAUAGUCCUUAAUUUUCACGAAAGUUGACAAAUUACACUUUUCAUCGAAACAAGUCUCUGAUAUUUUAAUUUUACAUUUUAAACCCUGUAAAAAUUAAAUUAAAAACCAAUGGGCCAAAAUUGAGUUAUGACAGUUGCCCCCUCUUUAUGAUAUUUACUAUGCAACGAUAUUAGAAAAUUUCAUUUUCUUUUAGCUUUGUGUAGUAAAUUUAUAAAGAAAAUUAGAUACCGAAAGAACUUUUACUUCUUCUUUUUUUUUACAUUUUUUUUUAGCUUUGAAAACAAUAGAUUUACACAUGACCUUUAUAGAGAGGACGAGUUAUUUGGAAGACGACUCACUUUUUUUUUUUUGAAAUGGAUCAAAUUGUUUUAGGCAACCUGCCCAAUGAUAAAAGAAACGCGAAGAAUUUCGCGAGUGGUCUAAUUGUUCCAGGCGACCUGCCCAAUGAUUGAAAAUACGAGGAAUUUUUUUUUUUUUUGUGAUGGUAUAUUGUAAUGGGUUACCAACCCAGAUGGUCACAUUGUAAUGGGUUACCUGCCCAGUAUAGGAUGGUAUAUUGUAAUGGGUUACCGACCCAAAUGGUCACAUUGUAAUGGGUUACUUGCCCAGUAUAGAAUGGUAUAUUGUAAUGGGUUACCGGCCCAGUUGGUAUAUUGUAAUGGGUUACCAGCCCAGGUGGUCACAUUGUAAUGGGUUACCUGCCCAGUUGGUAAAUUGUAAUGGGUUACCAGCCCAGAUGGUCACAUUGUAAUGGGUUACCUUCCCAGUUGGUAUAUUGUAAUGGGUUACCUGCCCAGUUGGUCACAUUGUAAUGGGUUACCUGCCCAGUUGGUAUAUUGUAAUGGGUUACCAGCCCAGAUGGUCACAUUGUAAUGGGUUACCUGCCCAGUAUAGGAUGGUAUAUUGUAAUGGGUUACCGGCCCAAGUGGUCACAUUGUAAUGGGUUACCUGCCCAGUUGGUAAAUUGUAAUGGGUUACCAGCCCAGAUGGUCACAUUGUAAUGGGUUACCUGCCCAGUUGGUAAAUUGUAAUGGGUUACCAGCCCAGAUGGUCACAUUGUAAUGGGUUACCUGCCCAGUUGGUACAUUGUAAUGGGUUACCUGCCCAGUUGGUCACAUUGUAAUGGGUUACCUGCCCAGUUGGUAUUUGUAAUGGGUUACCAGCCCAGAUGGUCACAUUGUAAUGGGUUACCUGCCCAGUAAGGUGGUAUAUUGUAAUGGGUUACCGGCCCAAUGGUCACAUUGUAAUGGGUUACCUGCCCAGUUGGUAAAUUGUAAUGGGUUACCAGCCCAGAUGGUCACAUUGUAAUGGGUUACCUACCCAGUUGGUCACAUUGUAAUGGGUUACCUGCCCAGUUGGUAAAUUGUAAUGGGUUACCAGCCCAGAUGGUCACAUUGUAAUGGGUUACCUUCCCAGUUGGUAUAUUGUAAUGGGUUACCUGCCCAGUUGGUCACAUUGUAAUGGGUUACCUGCCCAGUUGGUAUAUUGUAAUGGGUUACCAGCCCAGAUGGUCACAUUGUAAUGGGUUACCUGCCCAGUAUAGGAUGGUAUAUUGUAAUGGGUUACCGGCCCAAGUGGUCACAUUGUAAUGGGUUACCUGCCCAGUUGGUAAAUUGUAAUGGGUUACCAGCCCAGAUGGUCACAUUGUAAUGGGUUACCUGCCCAGUUGGUAAAUUGUAAUGGGUUACCAGCCCAGAUGGUCACAUUGUAAUGGGUUACCUGCCCAGUUGGUAAAUUGUAAUGGGUUACCAGCCCAGAUGGUCACAUUGUAAUGGGUUACCUGCCCAGUUGGUCACAUUGUAAUGGGUUACCUGCCCAGUUGGUCACAUUGUAAUGGGUUACCUGCCCAGUUGGUAUAUUGUAAUGGGUUACCAGCCCAGAUGGUCACAUUGUAAUGGGUUACCUGCCCAGUAUAGGAUGGUAUAUUGUAAUGGGUUACCGGCCCAAGUGGUCACAUUGUAAUGGGUUACCUGCCCAGUUGGUAAAUUGUAAUGGGUUACCAGCCCAGAUGGUCACAUUGUAAUGGGUUACCUGCCCAGUUGGUCACAUUGUAAUGGGUUACCUGCCCAGUUGGUAUAUUAUAAUGGGUUACCACCCCAGAUGGUCACAUUGUAAUGGGUUACCUGCCCAGUUGGUAUAUUGUAAUGGGUUACCAGCCCAGAUGGUCACAUUGUAAUGGGUUACCUGCCCAGUAUAGGAUGGUAUAUUGUAAUGGGUUACCGGCCCAAAUGGUCACAUUGUAAUGGGUUACCUGCCCAGUGGAACAAUACAAGGAUUUUUUUUUUAAUAAGACGAGGGCUCGAAAGCACGCUCGAAUGGAGAUAAGACGAGGGCUCGAAUGGAGAUAGGAUAGAAAAUGCACUACCUUUGAUGGUCGAGGGCUUGAAGGCGCGCUAGAAAAUAAAUAAGACGAGGGCUCGAAGGCGCGCUCGAAUGGAGGUAGGAUAGAAAAUGCAUUACCUAUGAUGGUCGAGGGCUCGAAGGCGCGCUCGAAUGAAACUCAAACAAGGGCUCGAAGGCGCGCUUGAAUGGAGAUAAGACAAGGGCUCGAAAACGCGCUCGAAUAGACACUCAAACAAGGGCUCGGAGGCGCUCUUGAAUGGAGAUAAGACAAGGGCUCGAAAACGCGCUCGAAUAGAGGUAGGAUAGGAAAUGCACUACCUUUGAUGGUCGAGGGCUCGAAGGCGCGCUCGAAAAUAAAUAAGACGAGGGCUCGAAGGCGCGCUCGAAUGGAGGUAGGAUAGAAAAUGCACUACCUUAGGGGUGGAAACUGAAAGGUGGUAGAAAAAUACAGAGAUUUUUCUGGUGGCCUAAUCAUGGGCGGCUUGCCCAGAUUGAAAAAUUCUCAAAAAUGAAAAAUUUUCAACAACAAUUUUGAUCUUUGGCCAUUUCAAGUUGGCCUUCCACUUGAUGGAUUUCGUUGGAAUUUUCUCAUAUGAAAUUUGCAAAACUCAGUGUCCAAUGUCUCAAAGUUAAAUGAUAUGCAUGCAUCUUUACCUGAUUUGAAAUAUAGGCCCCCAUUUCUUCAUAGUCUUCUUGUUGCUUGGUUGGUGAGAUCUUGCUAUCUGAUUUGAGUCAUCUUUGUCAUUUAGCUUUCUAGCCCACUCGAGUUGGCCCAUGUAAGUCUAUUUCCAAAUUUGUUUGCACAACUCAGCAUUUGUGGUGCCCAUCGUGACCUACUUGCUUGCUAAAGAUUUUCUGAUUCGUCAAAUAAUUUGAGAGGAUUAUUCAUUACCCCUCGUCUCACUGCUAAAAACAUUCGGUAUCACUUACUGAAAGGAUCGAGCUGUCUUUUGUAAACCAAAAUGCCCCCUUGUCUGGUUAAGGAAAUUACCAUCUCCUUUUCUAGAAUCUUUCCUUCUAAACACAAUGUUGCCCCCUUGUAUUGGUUAUUGCCCCUAAGUGUGCUUCUGUCAGCGACUUAGAUAAAUAAAGGUUUUAAGAGGCCAUUCUCUCAUUUCUCUCCUUUUCAGUUUGGUGGAGGAAUAUGGGUCUAAAAUGAAUCUUGAAAUCUUGAUCUUGCAUUUUGAAAACAAAAAUUAUUUCGAUGUGAGUCAAAUAACAAUUUACUUUUGAAAUCUUGCAACUCCUUAGUUAUUUUCUUUCUUGGAAAAGAGAUUAUUUGCUCUUGUGUUUGGUAAUGAGGUCUUCGGUGAGAAUAUGUUAUGAGAUGACCUUUUGUUUCGAAGUGAAGGUCUCGAGAAAAAAACUCGAGGUUUUGUAAGAGAAAAACUUGUCUCUUUUUGAACAUUUAUUUUUAUCAGCAUGAAUAAUAAUGAGUAGUUUAUUCUUGAUGUCAUGAAUCUUAUGAAAAAGUAUCUUUGCAUUUUGAGAGCAUUGUUUAUUGUUCUAGAUUGCUUGCUUGCUUGAUUCGAAAGGACUUCUACAGGCACGUAACGUAGGCUGUGGUUUUUUGCUAUGAAAGAAAAGGAUUCAUAAGGCUCAAAGAGUGUUUCAGGGUUUCAAAGACUGAAGAUCACGAUCAACAGUUUGGCUUUUGAUGUCAUUCAUAUUUUCCUUUGCCGCUCUUCUUUGAUUUGCUCCUUUUUUUUUUCAUUGCUUCGCCAGAGCAUACUCACUUUAUCUUGGUUAUCACUUUUUCUUGUGAUUUGGGCAUGCCCCCUAGUAUUUGAGUUUCUUGGGCUCUUUUGCCUUUUGGCUUUCUCACGGCUUUAUCCUCUUUCUUGAUCAUUGAAAUUUCACCUGCAUUUUUUUUUUGUGAUGUGGGCAUGAUCCCUAGCAUUUGAGUUUCUCGGGCUCUUUUGCCUUUUGGCUUUCUCACGGCUUUAUCAUCCUUCUUGAUCAUUGAAAUUUCACUUGCCCUAGUGUAGGGUGUGAUCUUAGUCGGGAUUUUUUAUGAAAGAAAAAAAAAAAUUAUUCAGGCUCAAAAACGGUUUGCAAGGGAUGUACUUAUUUUAGAACGUGAAAGGAAUAACAAAGAUGGCCUUUCCUCAUUUCAAGCGCAAGUAGCUAUGAUCAAUAAACUUUGACCUCGUAUAGUGUGAUGGUUUAUUCUUUGCAAAGAUGCAUUUCAUGAGUUAUGAGCAACAAGUUCACUACAUACCAUUAUUCAUACAUUUAAAAACACAUGAUUCAAGAGUAAUGGGGUAAGGUUGUUUAUUCUUUUUUUUAUUAUUAUUGUUUUUCUAAUUUAGUCACCUCAAUGAUGGAGUUGCUUGAUUCACUUGUCAUUCUACAAGUAGAAUGUUAAAAAUGUCGUUUUUGAAUAAACAUCAAAUUAUUUUUUGAAAUCAAAAUGCUAGAUCAAUUUUUUUCAAAACUCCAAUAGGAAAACUGAUUUUUGGUAAAGUAGAUGAAUUGCGUCUAUGAGAUCGCACAAGGCUUCAAAGAUGUGUUUGUGAAUCUUUAUAAGAAAACUCUCUCAGAAAAAAUGAAUAAUGCUAAUCGUAAACACGAUUGAAUGACAAACUCAUUAUUUUCAUUGAAACUUUAGAAAAUAAGUUCAACAAGAAAGAACUUAUGACAACAUCUUGGGCUAUGAAUACUGGCAUGAUAACAUAUAAAGGGGCUAAACAUUUAGCGAUCAUUGAUUGGAAUUUCUGGAAUCUUUCAAUCAUUCAUUCUCCUCGACAAGGGCAUCUUUUCAAUAGUCAAUUGAAAUCAAAUGUAGAUAAUUCUCGACCUAAUAUCACCAUAGCUUUAUCUUCAAGAUAGUUGAUUUCUAGGAGUCGAUGUGAAGCAAUUAGCUAUAGAAAUGAUAAGUGUCUUGGCAACCACCUUCAGUGAAACCGUUCUUCUCAGUCGGGUUAGCAAUCUUACCUAACCCAAUGGCUUGUUCAAUCCUCUCAGCUAUAACAACCAGGUCAGUGAAAUGUUGUGCAGAGCUUCUAACCAAGUAUUCAAAGUACGGAGCUUUAAAGGUGUCGGAAAAUAAAGUGAUCAUCUCUUUUUCCAACAUGGGAGGGUUAACUUGUGCAGCUAACUCACUCCAUCUCCGGGCGUAUUCUCUUAUGGACUCCUUGUUGUCCUUCUCCAUAGCUUGCAAGCUUAAACGAUCAGGUCCCACGUCGAUAUUGAACUUAUAUUGCCUCAUGAAGGCAUCAACUAAAUCCUUCCAUUUUUUAACCUUAGUAUUGUCCAACCGCAUAUACCAAGUGAGGGCAACAUUACUCAGACUGUCUUGAAAGAAAUGAAUCAGCAGUUUCUCAUCAUGAACCACCUCAGCCAUUUUGUUGCAGUAUGCUUUGAGAUGAGUUAUAGGGCAUUGAGUUCCCGUAUAUUUAACAAAUUCUGGCACUCUAAAUUUUUUUGGAAUGACCACGUUGGGCACCAAACACAUCUCAGCAGCCUUUAUAGGAUCAUAUAGGUGAAUUCCCUCAAAUGCCCUCAUCCUUUGUUCUAGGGCAAUGAAUUUGUUCAGCUCAUCUUUUUUUACUAUUUUGCCCUUUUGAGAUUCAUUCUCUGUAGAAUCAAUGGUAAACGACAUUCUCGUGGUGUAUGCUGGAUGAAAAUGCAUGGCUUGUUGAAAAUCAGAUGACAACCCAUUUGCCCCCAGAUUCUGUAGAUUGAAGGGAUUUACAAGUAUAGGUUCAGGCUGAGCUGUAAGUGUUGCUUUUCCGGAUUUAUCUCUCAAGGCCUGCUCGAGUAGACUAGUAAGCCUUACGACUUCUUCUUUAAGAUUGUCCACCUCUUUUUGAUGUUGGGCUUCCAACUGGGCUCUUUCUUCGUUUUCCAUUUGUCUUUUCUCGAAAGGGUUUAUUAUAUGUAGGUUUCAAAUGGGAACCUAUAUUUCAACCUGUAAAUGUAAAUCAUGCAAUUUAUGCAAAAAUGUUGAUUCAAUUAAAAAUGCGUAUGGAAUGCAGACACGUCCUUCACGGGAUGACAACCUAAUAGGAAGAUCCUAAUUGUUGAGUGCAUCAAAGGGUUGGUCAUUAUCUAGUUUCAAAGGGUCUCUCGCAUGCUCAGUGAUCGUCCAUGAAAGGUCGAUAUGAGGCUUACAAGUAGUGUGAAAAUAGAGGCCCUGAGUAAUAUCAGUUUGGCAUAUCAACCACUUCCAAGUAAACAAUCAAGCGAGAGUUGGAUGGUUUCACGAGUCUUACCCAGGCUAAAGCCAUUGGGGUACCGUUACUUUCCCACUUAUCCUAGAUUUUCAGGUGUGUGCUCUCAACGUGAUGCAUGACAAUAUAAACAUGGAUGCAUGCUAAAGCAGUAAAUUCAAGAAAAAUAAACAAAUAAACAUAACAUAAAAACAUUAUAACAAUUGAUAAACAAAAGGCAAAGCUUAGUCCAUUAGUCCCCAGUGGAGUCGCCAUUCUGUCGCACCCGACAUCGGGCGGCCUUAAAAAUUAAUUUAAUCUUUGGAAAGAACGGAUUUCUGGCAUCCUGUUCUUUAAUGUGGAAUUCUUGUUUAAGGAGUCGCCACCUAGUAUUAUGGUCACUAGGAACCCUAACUGGUCAACAGAGAUUCUAUGGUUCGGGACUGGUUACGUAAAAGGAAGAUAUUAUCACCCCUUAAACGUCCUGCCUGAGGCAGGCUGCAUUGCUAGUUUCGUCUUAAAUUGCUAAAUGUUUAUUUUUAUGUUAUGAAAAUUUGCUUAAAUAUUCCUGACUCUGGCGCCAGUGAAUAUUAACUACGAAUAUUUCCAACUCUGGCGUUGGUAAAUAUUACGUACUUAUAAAAAUAAAUUUAAAUCAAAUUUUUUUUUUUAUUCCUGACUCUGGCAGUGAAUAAAUAAAUAAAAUAAUUUAUUUUUACGCAUGCACAUAUUUUUUAUUUUUUCUAGCUAAAUAAAAUAAAAUACAUGAAUAAAAAUAAUAUAAAUUUAAACCGGUAUUUUUAUUCCUGACUCUGGCGUCAGUGAAUAAACCAAUAAAUUUACAUUAUUUUUAUUCAUGCAUACACAUUUUUAUUUUUUUUAUUUUUUCUAAUAACGAAUAAAAAAUAUAAUAUUAAAUAAUUUUUAUUCUCUGACUCUGGCGUCAGUGAAUAAACCAAUAAAUUACAUUAUUUUUAUUUUUUCCCUAGGACUAUUUUUCCUACAUUUUUUUUAUUUUUUUUAUUUUUUUUCUAGGAUUAAGCUUCACACGUGUAUGCAAAAGUAGUGAAUUAAAUUGGCCUAUGUACAGUACCCAUGCAAUUAUAAUUGCAAAGCAAAGGGAAAUGAAGAACUUACCUGUGCAGGAGGCGAAGUCGAAGACGGUGGCGAAGGUGUGCUGAAUUGCCAAAGCUACCCUCUCGUUGUGCAGGAGGCGAAGUCGAAGACGGUGGCAAAGGUGUGCUGAAUUGCCAAAGCUACCCUCUCUCCUUCUCUGUUUUUAUUCUUCGUGCGCUUCUCCUCUUGUUUUGCUUUUCUUUGCUUUGAUUACUUCUCUUGUUCUUCCUGUCUCUCUCCCUGUGUUUGCUUUCUCAGUUCGCUUGUGUUUUCUUUUUUUAUCUGUUGUUCAGGGAAUGGAGGAGAUGGUGUAAGUGGAGACAAAGCAGCUGAUGCCUGAGAGGGCGUUUGUACUGCUGCUGGAGCUGGAAGAGGCGCGCGUUGCUGGUUGCUGAUGCAUGCUCCUGGUGCAUGGAAGUGGCUGAGUUGCUACUAAUCUUGACGAUACUGGUUUCGUCCACUGUAAAAGUUUUCAUGCCCCUGCAUCCGAUCAAAACUUGUGCUUUUCCAAGCAAAAGCCAUGGUCCCUUGAAACUCAGCAGAUUUUCGGAGCAAGGAGGAUCGCAUGCCAAUGUAGUUCAUGGUUCUGGUUUAGAGGCAGACGUGGCGGAGAUUAAUGGUGAUUGGGACCACAGCCUAGAAGGUGACCGGGAGGAAGAUGAUCUCGGGCCUUUAUUUGCUUCUUCUUUUUUUUUUGUGAGGAGCUUGCAGAUCCGGGGGUUGAGGCUGAAGAAUGAAAAAUCAGUUUGAUGGGGGAAGAGAUUGAGGCCAGGAAAGAAGAGAGAAAAAGCUGGGGGGAGGGGGCAGCGGCGGCUAGUCUAGGACUCGGCCGCCCCCCACCCCCCCUUUUUUUUGUAAAUUUUUUUUUUUCCUUUUUUUAUAGGUUUCUGGUAAUGGUCUUCUCCUGGUUUUUUUUUUGUGUCGUUUAGGGUUCCUCUCCAAUCCUCCUCCUUUUCUUCUUUGCAUAGACUGGGAUCAGUAUUUAUAGUGCAAGAAUCCCAUCGCUUAUAAGAAGUACAGUCUCAAUCAAACCCAUUCUCUUUUUUGAAGUUCGAAUUAGAAUCGAAUUCGAAAUCAGACAAUUAUCAUUAUCUUGAAGGUAAGGAUUAUCUCGAAAGUAAGAAUUAUCUCAAAGAUAAGGAUAGAAUAACAAAAGCACACUAUAGUCCUUAAUUUUCACGAAAGUUGACAAAUCACACUUUUCAUCGAAACAAGUCUCUGAUAUUUUAAUUUUACAUUUUAAACCCUGUAAAAAUUAAAUUAAAAACCAAUGGGCCAAAAUUGGGUUAUGACAUUGCCAACUAACUUUUCAAGCAGUUGAUUAUAAGUUCCUUUAAAUAUAGUAUGAAAUAAUAAUAAUGAUGUAUUUGAAUUUUAUUUAGCAUAAUGAAAUUACUAUUUUUUUUUCUAAAAAAAGAAAAGAACUUAUCAGUCAAUAAAAACAGCUUAUAGAAAUUUCAAAGAAAUGGAGACGUCAAAUUAGCGCUCGUCAACAAAUCCAGAAUGACUUUCUGUCCACUAUUAUUAUCGCAGUUGCUUUAGCUCUAAAAAUUGUCUGCCAUUCAAAUGUUCUAUAAGAACUUUCCACCAAGUCAACAUUUGUUGUCUCUGAUCUUGUUAUAGAAAUUUCUAAGAAAAUGAACAUGGCAAGGGACUCCGUGGUCUCUGUCCCCACUAUCAUUGAAUUUUUUACAAUCAGCAAUAAAUAAACACGGCACGACUUUUUUCAUUGACUUCAAUCUCCAGUUUUUCUAAGCUUCUCUCCAUUCCUUGUCCACAUUACCUUUCAUUUCAUCUGAUAAAAAGAUAUAACUUUCUUUCCUCCACCGUGAGGGCUGCUAGCCAGCUGAUCACCAAAAAGAUGAACUCUCUCAAAUUCUACGUUCUCCUGCUCUCGUUGCUUACCCUUGCUAUUAUCACUCUAGCACAGGAGGAUGCCAACUACCUCUAUCAUGGUUGCCAAAACGCAACCACCUCCACAUUAAACAGCACCUACCGAGCCAAUCUAAAUCUCCUCCUCUCUUCACUUGCCUCGAAUGCAACCCCGAAUAAUACCAUUGGAUUCUACAACACCUCUUUCGGGCAGAACACUGAUCAAGUGUACGGCCUGUUUGUCUGCCGUGGCGAUCUUAGCAACUCUGUUUGCCAAAAUUGUGUCACCUUCGCCACCGAAGAUAUAGUCCAGCGUUGCCCAAUUGGAAUAGCGUCCAUUGUGUAUUACGAUGCGUGCAUCCUACGUUACUCUAACGUGAACAUUUUCUCUAAGGUGGAUCAAAGCCCUUCUUUCUCUUUCUCCUUGUUAAACACACAGAAUAUCACAACCGAACCCCAGCGUUUUAACAAUCUAGUGGGAGCCGCCGUGAAUGAUUUGGCUGCUCGAGCUGCAAGUGCUCCUCCUGGUGCUAAAAAGUUUGCCGUGAACAAAACGGCUUUCGAUGCGUUCCAAAAUAUAUACAGCCUUGCCCAGUGCACACCGGAUUUAUCUAGCUCUGAUUGCAAUCGAUGUCUCAGUGCAGCUAUAGCUGGAUUGCCCAAUUGCUGCAGCAGCAAGAUAGGAGGAAGAGUCUUGUUUCCUAGUUGUUAUAUUCAUUAUGAAAUUACUGAAUUUUAUAAUGCAACGGGAGUGGCAGCGGAGUCACCGCCUCCUCCUCCUUCGCCCGUGGCUCUUCCUUCUCCUCCACCUCCUCGUUCAGCGACAAUACCAGAAGGUAUAGUUAUUUUCCACUAUUUAUUGUUUUUUUCAAUAUCUUUAAUCGUUCAGUGACUAUAGAAUGCACUAGUCGAAGUUUAAAUUUAUCUCUUAAAUUUUUUGGAUGAAAUUUAUUUAUUAAAUUACAAAAUACAAAAUCCUUAAAUUAAUUUAUUAAUUUUUUUCUCUUACGAUUUUAUACACCAAAAGGCAUCUCACAUGUUUGAAAGUCAAUUCCGAGUCCUCUAAUGUGUAUCCCACGCCAUGAAAGCAUUCUGGUGUUAGCUCAACAUUUCUUUUCGGCCCACCACGUGAUUGUACCUCAAAAAUUGUUCACGAUUUUGUGCGUGUUGUGCAAAACUUACAAAAAAAAAAAAAAACACUUGCAAUAUUUACCAUGUUUGGAUCAAGAAUUGCCUAUCUCCAUGAACAAUUUUAAAAAAAUCCAUCUAAAUUAAGAAAAAAAAACCAUGCAAGAACAAAUCCCUGAUCAAGUUAAGCCCUCUAAAGUUGAACUUCUCAAAGCUACAACGGAAUCGUCACGAAUAUAGGAAUUCCACACUACUUACUUUUCCUAGUAGAGAUUUGCGACCCGAUUCAACAAUUCAAUUUUUGCUCAUCAAGAUUAAAUCAAUCUCUUUAAUAGUUAAAUAUUGUGUAACGAGAUUAGAAAAUUCAUCAGGAUUAAAUCAAUCUCUUUGGAGUGUUUUGGUAUUUUUAAUAUUAAAUAUUUUUUUCACUGUAAAAAUAUUUAUAUACCCCUACAAUUAAAAAUAUAUAUGCUGCUUUUCUCUUAGGAGUGUUUUGGUAUUUUUAAUUUUUUUAAAUAGUUAAAUUACUUUUAUAGCCUUAAAGAUAAAAUUAACAUAACUCUCUCAAAUGGAGACAUUUACAUCUUUUUACCAUGGUUUCUUUUUUUUUUUUAAUGUCAUGUUAGUUCGGGGCAUUGUUUUAUUUUUUUAAAUGUUUAAUAUUAAAAAAAAUCUUAUUGGAACGUGUCAAUAGCACCCAAGUCUUUUAGGAAGUGUGUGGGGGUUGCUUGGCCACCAAAUGCUUCUUUCACUAACGUUGUUAGAGUCAUCAUGGUGCCCCAGCCGAUGUAAUGGUGUGGCUCGUGUUUCAAAAUUUAUAAUGGUUUGGCAUCAAUAACCUUUUUUCCUCCAUUUUCUCUCUCUCCCUACUUAGAUUUUUACGCCAACCCAUUAAUAACUCUAGAACAACCGCUUAAUUUUUUAAUUCUUUAGACUUAUCCCUAUUCUUUUUAUUACAAUUGUUUUAUCUUGAAUAAUUUAUAAAAUUGGUAUGCCUUUCGAUUUCAUCCCUUGCCAUUUAUUUUAAUCUUUUAAACUUGAUCACCAUUCUUUCGAUUGUUAUUUUUUUGUUUGAAAUUAUUUUUUUGAAUUGAUUUUGAUUUACAAUUUCAUCCUUCUUUGUUUUUUUUUCCUAUCAAAUUUAAUCCUCAUUCUUUUGAUUGUUAAUUUUUUUUGUUUUGACAAGUUUUUAAAUUGAUAUUUUUAAUUGGUUCGUAAUAAAAUUCUUGAUUGAACCUAGAUUUAGGAUUUCACAGGAUGCGAAUUUUAAAGAAUUGACUGGGUUUAUAAUGUUUCCUGGAUUUGCUUGGUUUUUUAUUUUCCUUUGUCUAAGUUAAUUUUUUUCUCAUCUCAUCUUUCAAUAUUUAUUCAAUUGGAGUCUGGGUUAUAUAUUUUUUAGCUUGCUUUCUGUUAAAUUUUUUGUUGGUUUUGAAAAUGACUUGGUUAUCUUGAGCUUUUUAUUUAUCGUUAUUUGUUGGAUUUUUUGGCUAAUUCUUUAAAUUGAUAUCUUUUUCUGAUUUCAUCCUUAAAUAUUUAAAAUUAUUUUUUAAACAAUUUAUAAGAUUCAAAUUCAUUUUCUAUUUCAUCUCCCUUUAUUUUCUUUUUAUCCUUCGGAUUGUAUACUCACUCUUUUAAUUUCUAUUUGUUUUAUUUGAGAUAAUUGUUUUAAUUUAUUUUUUUUCUCUAUGAUUUUUCAUUGAUUUUAAAAAUAACUUGGGUUUUCUCGAGUCUUUUUAUUUGUUGUUGUUUGUUGGAUUUACUUUCACUAAUCAAUGAAGUUUAGUUGAGAAGUUUGUUGCUAUUAUCACUAAUCAAUAUUAAUUUAGUUGAUAAUUGAGUUUCUUGAUUUAGCCCAGGUUUGAGAUUUAAAGGGUUGCGAGUUUAAGAUCUUUGUCUAUGUUUAAAAGGUUCGCUUGGUUUUUAUUGGAUUUUUUUUUAAGUUUAUGACUUUUAAAUUUAUUAUUCAAUAUUUAUAUCAUUAGUGAUUAAACUUUUUAUCUUCAUUAUGAGCCUUCUAUAUGAUUUUUUUGAAUGUUUUUUUUUGGGUUACCAUAUUUCAACCUUUUUAUCUUUGUGGGGUCUAUGGUCCAAGUUACAUUUUAAAAAAUAAAAUAAAAAAUGCUUGCCUCAUAAAAUUACAAAUAUUUAUCAAUUUCAGUCCUAUUUUUUUAUCUUUUAAAUUUGAUCUUUAUUAUUUUGAUUGUUAUUUGUUUUAUUUGAGAUCACUUUUUUUAUUGUUAUAUAUAUAUUUGUAAUUUCAUCCUCUAUGAGUUUCUUUUUCUAUUAUAUUUGAUUUUCAUUUUUUUUAUUGCUAUCUAUUCUAUUUUUUCAAGUUUUUAAAUUAAUAUUGUUUUCAUAAGUUCAUCUAUUAAAAUUAAAUUAGUUGAUAAUUAAAUUUAACUAAAUUACGAAUGACAUAUUUUGAUAGCAUUAUUUUGAUAGCAUCUGGUCAUGGACAGAAAGCAAUACUGAACUUAUAACCCUGUUUCUAAUUAUAAUGGAUCCAAAAUCAAAAAGAUAUUCAUGUUGGAUUUUCAACGUGUUACAAAAGGUUAAUUACUGGCUUGAAAGCCGCUUUUGACUUUAGACCAUGGAAGCAAAGUUAUAAAACCCGGUAAAGUUUAUAAUUCCGUGAAAGACUUGGAUUACUAGUUGGAUUAGUCAAUACGGGUAAAUCUAAACUAGAGUGAUUUCAAGAUUUAUUUUAAGAAAUAUUUGAAAUGAUACCGGGUUGAAAAAAUAAAUUUAGUUUUUUUAAAAAACUCAUAAAAGAUCUUAUUUGGAUUUUAACUACAAAAUCGAGUCACGGAUAAUCAAGUUUGACAUGGUUUGUUCUCAAAAUGAUUUGAUAUAAAACCUUGUCUAAGCUAAUUACCGGGUCGAUGAUUUGACUUACAAAACCAAGCCAGGUUUAUAACAUUUUUAUUAAAAAAAAAAUUAGAUAUCUAGAAAUAAUUUAUUAUCUUUUGUUCCUUGAAAAAAUGUUUCUUGACAUGGUUAAAUAUUUUCUUUUUUCUAAUUUCUUAACCCCCCCCCCCCAAAAAAAAAAAAAUACAAACAAAGAAAAGAGCUCCCAUGUCAUUCAAAAUGGAUUCGUCUCUGUUUGAAAAUGUUUGUAUGUGAAAGUUAAAAGCUUUUAUGAAUUACAAUUCGUUUUUGAAUGAUACAUGUUUCUUUUUGCAGAAAAAGGCGGCGUCUCAACAGUUUUAAUUAUAGCCAUUGUCAUUCCCAUUGCUGUUUCUAUCGCGCUUUUCGGCAUGUGUUUCUGUUUCCUGAGGAGGGCAAGAAAGACCAGAGAUUAUGUGCCAGAAAAUGAUGGUAAAGAACAUUAGAAAUCUUUUUUAAUUGGGAAACAAAACAAAAGCAGAGUCUUUUCUGUUUUGUACUCUGCCUAUAAUAUUUUCAAAAGCUCAAAGGAAUAUCUACUUGUGUUGUGCAGUUGGAGAUGAGAUGACAACCGAGGAGUCCUUGCAAUUUGAUUUGAGUACUAUAGAAGCUGCCACGAACAAUUUCUCCGCUGAUAACAAGUUAGGUGAAGGAGGAUUUGGUGAGGUUUACAAGGUAAGAAAUUCGUGACGCGUUUAAAUUUUCAAGAACAGGAAAUACCUUGUUGCAUUCGUAUUUGAAAAUCCCUUGCUCAAGCAUCGGUGAAAGUGCUUUCUCAGGGAACACUUCCUAAUGGACAGCAAAUUGCUGUGAAGAGGCUAUCAAAAAAUUCUGGACAAGGUGCUGCAGAAUUUAAGAAUGAGGUUGUAUUGGUAGCCAAGCUUCAACACAGGAAUCUAGUGAGGGUGCAAGGAUUUUGCUUGGAAGGAGAAGAAAAGAUUCUUGUCUAUGAAUUUGUCAGCAACAAAAGCCUUGACUGCUUUCUAUUUGGUAUAUAUUGAUAAUUUUCUAAUGUUCUUCUCAUUGCCUUUUAGUACGAGAAAUGCAUAUUUGCCUCUAGGAAUAUACUCGAUUCUUCGUAAUCAGGCACAUUUGUCUUUGAGACAGUUGAUCUGCACUCUGACUUGAAGGUUCUGUUUUCUUGAUUUUACAGACCCUGAAAGGCAAGGACUGUUGGACUGGUCAAGACGGUACAAAAUAAUAGGAGGCAUUGCUCGAGGAAUUCUUUAUCUUCACGAGGACUCGCGGCUACGAAUUAUACAUCGUGACCUCAAAGCCAGCAAUAUUCUGCUAGAUGGAGAUAUGAACCCCAAAAUCUCAGAUUUUGGCUUGGCUAGGAUUUUCGUAGUCGAUCAAACUCAAGCAAGUACCAAUAGAAUUGUUGGAACAUAGUAAGUUUGGAUCUAAUUCCCAUUUAUUAGUAAAUUCAUUUGCUGACAGAGUGCUUUCAUUUCGUUUUUUUGAAAUCAUUUCUCUGUUUUUCUGGUUUGUAGCGGUUAUAUGUCCCCAGAAUAUGCAAUGCAUGGGCGUUUCUCUGUCAAGUCCGAUGUCUAUAGCUUUGGUGUCUUAAUCCUUGAGAUUAUAACCGGAAAGAAGAACAGUUCCUUCUAUCAAACAGGGGGUGCUGUAGACCUUGUGAGCUAUGUGAGUGCAAGUUUUUCUCUCUUGAAAACAAAUAGCAUAAGAUGUAGCAACUUUUGACCAUUCAAUUUUCUGUUUUCAGGUUUGGAAACAUUGGAGAGAUGGGACACCAUUGGAAGUGCUGGAUCCAACUCUGACAGAUACAUAUUCAAGAAAUGAAGUAAUUAGAUGCAUCCACAUUGGAUUGUUAUGUGUUCAAGAAGAUCCAGCUAUCAGACCCGCAAUGGCAACAGUUGUUCUCACACUCAAUAGUUACUCGGUUACCUUACCAUCACCGCAAGAGCCUGCAUUGUUUUUCCAUAGCACUAUAACAGAUGAAGUGAACAUUUCGAGCAAGGAAUUUCUUUUAGAAGAUUCUAAAAGCAAGUCUGUUGUUUAUUCUGUAGAUGAAGAUUCAAUUACUGAAGUAUAUCCUCGAUAGGGAGCAUGUGUAUUUUCUCUGAAAUAAAUACUGGAAAUAAAAAACAUG